ACAUCCUUAAUGUAAUGGUAGCAUAAUAGUCUCCAAAACUAUUAGUCUAAGUUCGAAUCUUAGAGGGUGUG
rnacentral:tRNA from 1 species